rnacentral:rRNA from 1 species
UAGGGAAUCUUCGGCAAUGGGGGCAACCCUGACCGAGCAACGCCGCGUGAGUGAAGAAGGUUUUCGGAUCGUAAAGCUCUGUUGUAAGAGAAGAACGAGUGUGAGAGUGGAAAGUUCACACUGUGACGGUAACUUACCAGAAAGGGACGGCUAACUACGUGCCAGCAGCCGCGGUAAUACGUAGGUCCCGAGCGUUAUCCGGAUUUAUUGGGCGUAAAGCGAGCGCAGGCGGUUAGAUAAGUCUGAAGUUAAAGGCUGUGGCUUAACCAUAGUACGCUUUGGAAACUGUUUAACUUGAGUGCAGAAGGGGAGAGUGGAAUUCCAUGUGUAGCGGUGAAAUGCGUAGAUAUAUGGAGGAACACCGGUGGCGAAAGCGGCUCUCUGGUCUGUAACUGACGCUGAGGCUCGAAAGCGUGGGGAGCGAACAGGAUUAGAUACCCUGGUAGUCCGCGCCGUAAACGAUGAGUGCUAGGUGUUGGAUCCUUUCCGGGAUUCAGUGCCGCAGCUAACGCAUUAAGCACUCCGCCUGGGGAGUACGACCGCAAGGUUG